rnacentral:rRNA from 1 species
AUUGAACGCUGGCGGCAUGCCUUACGCAUGCAAGUCGAACGGCAGCACGGGAGCAAUCCUGGUGGCGAGUGGCGAACGGGUGAGUAAAGUAUCGGAACGUGCCCAGUCGUGGGGGAUAACGUAGCGAAAGUUACGCUAAUACCGCAUACGCUCUAUGGAUGAAAGCGGGGGAUCGCAAGACCUCGCGCGAUUGGAGCGGCCGAUAUCAGAUUAGGUAGUUGGUGGGGUAAAGGCUCACCAAGCCGACGAUCUGUAGCUGGUCUGAGAGGACGACCAGCCGCAGUGGGACGGCGACACGGCCCAGGCUCCUACGGGAGGCAGCAGUGGGGAAUUUUGGACAAUGGGCGAAAGCCUGAUCCAGCCAUGCCGCGUGCAGGAUGAAGGCCUUCGGGUUGUAAACUGCUUUUGUACGGAACGAAAAGGUUUGGCCUAAUAAGCUGAGCUCAUGACGGUACCGUAAGAAUAAGCACCGGCUAACUACGUGCCAGCCGCCGCGGUAA